rfam:Triticum aestivum genome assembly, contig: Triticum_aestivum_CS42_TGACv1_scaffold_001974_1AL
CCCGUGAAUGAUGACGACAUGGUGUCCUACAUCCUCGCGGGAGUCGACUUUAGCUACAUGUCCUUCAUCUCCUCCAUCUACACCAGAACCGAGUAGAUCACAGUCAGCGAGCUGUACUCUCAGCUCACUAGCUUUGAGA